rnacentral:tRNA from 1 species
GCCGCUAUAGCUCAGCUGUGGUAGAGCAACUGACUUGUAAUCAGUAGGUCCCGGGUUCGACUCCUGGUGGCGGCACCA